UGUUCUGUGGCUUAGUUGGUUAAAGCGCCGGUCUAGCGAAUACGGAGUCGUGUGCUCGAGUCCCACCAGAACGC
rnacentral:tRNA from 1 species